UUGACAUAUACUAGAAUAUUUAAAUUGGUUUUAAGUCUUAAAGUUAAUGGGCUUUCGGGGCGGGCUUCUCAACCUCGUAAAGAAAGAAACGGAAGGGAAAGAACGGGAGGAUUCUCCCAGUUGCGUACAAUGUGAAGGCGCAAACUUUCAAGACGGCGAUAGAGGCUGCAUGGAUACUCGUCGAUGAUAUAGUGAGUGGUAUCAAGAAGAAGCAAGCUCCUGGAGCUGGGCCUAUAAAGCCAACCAUUGAGACAGAAGGAGAUGCGGACAACGAACAGAUUCUUCCUGGCUAAGACCAUCCGCAACGCGGGAUGUAGACAAAUCCUUAGCCCAAAUCCUUAGUGUCAUUUGAUUAUUUUAACAAUAUAAUAGACGAAACAGCUAAGGAUGAAUCCUUGUUCAAGGGUUUUAAGGAUUCAGUCCUUGAGGACGUGGCAUCAUUCUUCAUUUUUUUCAAUAGAUUCUCCUCCCCUUUUUUGUCACUGACGGUGAUCACUCCAGCUACACGUAUCGCGCCGCAGCUUCACUGAUCCUUUAACCACCGAUUGACACUCCCCUCCGCCUCUAAGAAACUCCUCUUCCUCAGAAACCCCACUCCCAGCCCCACGUUCGUCGCCGUCCGGUUCCAGAAACCUUACUCCGAUCGGCUCAACGGAAUCCACGAACCAUGCCUUUUCUGCUUCGUUCAAGCGGCCUCACCUUCAAGCUCCACCCUCUCGUGAUGCUCAACAUCUCCGAUCACUUCACCAGGGUCAAAACUCAGCUCAACCCUCCAUCCGAUCAGCUCAACCAGGGUCAUCGCUUUCUUCCUCUUUAAGGUACUGAUCGAAUCAUCACCAUGGCUAAGAACUCAUUCAAGCUCUCUAAUCCUCUUGGACUAUGUGCCUACUGUGUUUGAUAAUUUUCAGCGCCAAUGUGAUUGUGGAUGGAAACACUAUCAACUUGGGAUUGUGGGAUACUGCAGGCAAGCUACCUUUUCAUUUCAUCAUUCUCUUUCUGAAUAUUUUGCUCUGCAGAGAGAGAGUGAGUCGUUUGUUUAUUUGUUUUGGACUCUGGAUGAAACAUGACAAGAAGACUACAAUAGACUAAGGUCUUUGAGCUAUCGAGGUUCAGAUGUCUUCUUACUUGCCUUCUCACAUUCAGUUUCGGUUAAGUUGAUGGUGUUUAUGUGAAUAAAUGGUUUAAAUUUGCAGCAAGCUUACUUCAAUUUUGUAAUACUUCAAAUACAAGUGCUUUGACAAAAGCAAUUUUGUAUAUAUUAAGGA